GCAAGUCCGCGGGUCUCCGAGCAUACAUCUAGGCGGGACUUCAGGGUCUCCGACUCAAGCUGGUGCGCGCUGCCCCUCUCGGCCCCCUACCCUGCAGCGAGGGUAGCGUGACGUAAUGCAACCUCAGCGUGUCAGCGGCGAUGUAAACCAGGACGAGGCAGCGCAGCGCACCUCCCAUACGCAGAGUAGCUUGUGAUUGGUCCAAGCUUCAGGACCUCGGAAACCCGAAUGUGAGGACCUUACGACUACACAGCUGCCGCCCUCCGCAGAAAUCCAGAGCGCGGUCAGAGUCCAAUUGGCGGCGGCGGCGGCGGCGGCAGCGGGUAAAGAGAACGGUUUUCCCAAUGAAAAUAACAUAG
rnacentral:lncRNA from 1 species